rnacentral:tRNA from 1 species
UGGUUCCGCCCGGGAUCGAACCGGGGACCUUUCGCGUGUAAAGCGAACGUGAUAACCAUUACACCACGAAACC